rnacentral:rRNA from 1 species
AUGCUGAGUCACCCUAAGGAUGCGAGCCAGUGGCAAGCGUUGAACUUCGAAUACCCAGAAUUUGGGAUGGAUCCAAGGAACAUCGUGCUGGGUGCGAGCACUGAUGGAGUCAAUCAGUUUGGCAGCCAGAGAAGCACACAUAGCACCUGGCUUGUGUUUGUGUGGAUGUACAACCUUCCCCCCUGGUUGUGCAUGAAGAUGAAGUACAUUCACAUGAGUAUGCUAAUUGAAGGGCCGAAACAACCAGGGAACGACAUCAAUCUGUAUCUGGGGCUGCUGAAGGAGGAGCUAGACACGCUGUGCAAAAUGCCAGCCAAUACGUGGGACGCCGCAUAG